AGUUAGCGGCGGACGGGUGAGUAACACGUAGGCAACCUGCCCUCAAGCUUGGGACAACUACCGGAAACGGUAGCUAAUACCGAAUAGUUGUUUUCUUCUCCUGAAGAGAACUGGAAAGACGGAGCAAUCUGUCACUUGGGGAUGGGCCUGCGGCGCAUUAGCUAGUUGGUGGGGUAACGGCUCACCAAGGCGACGAUGCGUAGCCGACCUGAGAGGGUGAUCGGCCACACUGGGACUGAGACACGGCCCAGACUCCUACGGGAGGCAGCAGUAGGGAAUCUUCCGCAAUGGGCGAAAGCCUGACGGAGCAAUGCCGCGUGAGUGAUGAAGGUUUUCGGAUCGUAAAGCUCUGUUGCCAGGGAAGAACGCUUGGGAGAGUAACUGCUCUCAAGGUGACGGUACCUGAGAAGAAAGCCCCGGCUAACUACGUGCCAGCAGCCGCGGUAAUACGUAGGGGGCAAGCGUUGUCCGGAAUUAUUGGGCGUAAAGCGCGCGCAGGCGGUCAUUUAAGUCUGGUGUUUAAUCCCGGGGCUCAACCCCGGAUCGCACUGGAAACUGGGUGACUUGAGUGCAGAAGAGGAGAGUGGAAUUCCACGUGUAGCGGUGAAAUGCGUAGAUAUGUGGAGGAACACCAGUGGCGAAGGCGACUCUCUGGGCUGUAACUGACGCUGAGGCGCGAAAGCGUGGGGAGCAAACAGGAUUAGA
rnacentral:rRNA from 1 species